rnacentral:rRNA from 1 species
AACGCGAAGAACCUUACCAGGCCUUGACAUCCCGGUCGCGGCCCCUUGAAAGAGGGGCCUUCAGUUCGGCUGGACCGGUGACAGGUGCUGCAUGGCUGUCGUCAGCUCGUGUCGUGAGAUGUUGGGUUAAGUCCCGCAACGAGCGCAACCCUCGCCCUUAGUUGCCAUCAUUUAGUUGGGCACUCUAAGGGGACUGCCGGUGAUAAGCCGCGAGGAAGGUGGGGAUGACGUCAAGUCCUCAUGGCCCUUACGGCCUGGGCCACACACGUGCUACAAUGGCGGUGACAAUGGGCAGCAAAGGGGCGACCCGGAGCUAAUCUCAAAAAGCCGUCUCAGUUCGGAUUGCACUCUGCAACUCGGGUGCAUGAAGUCGGAAUCGCUAGUAAUCGCGGAUCAGCACGCCGCGGUGAAUACGUUCCCGGGCCUUGUA